rnacentral:piRNA from 1 species
CACUUAUAUACUGGAGAAGGAUA